GCUCCCAUAGUCUAGUCCGGCAAGGAUGCAGGCUUCUCAGGCCUGAGACGUGAGUUCAAAUCUCGCUGGGAGCG
rnacentral:tRNA from 1 species